GGGGGCGCCUGGUUUCGACGGGGGGAGGGAAGCGAAGGACUGCGUGUCGAGCCGUCACGGCCUCGUUAAACCCGUGGCAAACCAUAAUUGCGAACGAAGAAUUCGCACUGGCUGCUUAAGUAGCCACGUCCCCUGAGGUUGCGCCUGCUGGGCUUCAGGAGGACGCUGAUACAGCGGGAUAGCCGCGGGAGCGCCCCGCGAACGCGGCGAAACUCUUAGGGGCUGGCCCGAGAAGGAUCCUGUCGGCCGGAGCCUUCGAGGGCGAGAUCCAAUCGACCGAAUACGCACGUAGAGGUCCUCGGAGAACUCCUUUCGGACGCGGGUUCGAUUCCCGCCGCCUCCACCA
rnacentral:tmRNA from 2 species